rnacentral:rRNA from 1 species
GUGUCAGCCGCCGCGGUAAAACGUAGGGGGCGAGCGUUGUCCGGAAUUACUGGGCGUAAAGGGCACGCAGGCGGUACGCCAAGUCGGGGGUGUAAAGUUACGGCUCAACCGUGACCUUGCAAUCGAUACUGGCGUACUGGAGUGCGGGAGAGGGAAGUGGAAUUCCCGGUGUAGCGGUGAAAUGCGUAGAUAUCGGGAGGAACGCCAGUGGCGAAGGCGGCUUCCUGGCCCGCGACUGACGCUCAUGUGCGAAAGCCAGGGGAGCGAACCGGAUUAGAUACCCGGGUAGUCCUGGCCGUAAACGAUGGGUGCUAGGUGUCGGGUGUCAAAGCUCGGUGCCGCAGUUAACGCGAUAAGCACCUCGCCUGGGGAGUACGGUCGCAAGGCUGAAACUCAAAUGAAUUGGCGG